UAAACACCCCUCUUCACACCAAACCCUAACCAUAGCCGCCAGACCCCUCCACCGGAAAAGAAGAGCCAGUCGUCAGAAAGGAUCUGAUCGCCGCCCACCGCUACGUUGGAGCCACUUCUGACCACCAAAAGAGGUAAAAUUUUCUCCAUAUGCUCAAAAUUCAAUUUUGAACACCCCCAUGGCAAAAUCGAAGCAAAAAGACCAGCGAAUGAGGCAGAAAUUGCGGGUAAAAUCUGACGGC
rnacentral:lncRNA from 1 species